AGGGGCACAUGGGAAGGACACUAAGCAUACAUCGGUUGUUAUAGAUUCACAACCGAUUGACAUUAGUUGUCAUGCCCCAAGACCCACUCCAAGGGCAUGACGGUCAUUUCACACUUCAAACCCGAAGGCUUACAGUGUAACCUGACUGAAACAAUUAUCUUGUAAUCGGAAGUUACCAGUUACCAAAUACCUGUUCAGAG
rnacentral:lncRNA from 1 species